UCCUGCCAUCUCCGCCACCACCCCCACCUAUGACAUCAGGAACAGUAACAGCAGCAAUGCCACUGUCACCACCUCCACCACCCAAGACAUCAGGAACUGCAACAGCAGCAGCACCUCCACUGCCGCCACUCAUGACUUCUUCGAAAGGAUCAAAGCCAUUACGAUCACCACCACCCAUUGCACAAGCAAAUGGAGCUGCUCCACCACCACCACCACACAUUGCACAAGCAAUUGGAGCCGCUCCACCACCACCACCACCCAUGGCACGAGCAAAUGGAGCUGCUCCACCACCACCACCACACAUUGCACAAGCAAUUGGAGCCGCUCCACCACCACCACCACCCAUGGCACG
rnacentral:misc_RNA from 1 species